rnacentral:rRNA from 1 species
CGCAAGCCUGACCGAGCGACGCCGCGUGCGCGAUGAAGGCCUUCGGGUGUAAAGCGCUGUCGAGGGGGAGGAAAGCCCGAAAGGGUCUGACCUAUCCCUGGAGGAAGCACGGGCUAAGUUCGUGCCAGCAGCCGCGGUAAGACGAACCGUGCGAACGUUGUUCGGAUUCACUGGGCUUAAAGGGCGCGUAGGCGGAUUAUCAAGUCAGGGGUGAAAGCCCUCGGCUCAACCGAGGAAUAGCCUCUGAUACUGGUAGUCUUGAGGGAGGUAGGGGCCUCUGGAACUUCUGGUGGAGCGGUGAAAUGCGUAGAUAUCAGAAGGAACGCCGGUGGCGAAAGCGAGGGGCUGGAUCUCAUCUGACGCUGAGGCGCGAAAGCUAGGGGAGCAAACGGGAUUAGAUACCCCGGUAGUCCUAGCCCUAAACGAUGGGUACUAGGUUGUGGACUUGACAUGGGUUCACAGCCGAAGCAAAAGUGUUAAGUACCCCGCCUGGGGAGUAUGGUCGCAAGGCUG